rnacentral:rRNA from 1 species
AUGCUGAUUAUUCGAUGCAACGCGAAGAACCUUACCUGGGUUUGACAUAUACUGGAAAGCUGCAAAGAUGUGGCCCCCCUUGUGGUCGGUAUACAGGUGGUGCACGGCUGUCGUCAGCUCGUGUCGUGAGAUGUUGGGUUAAGUCCCGCAACGAGCGCAACCCUCGUUCUAUGUUGCCAGCGCGUGAUGGCGGGGACUCAUAGGAGACUGCCGGGGUCAACUCGGAGG